rnacentral:rRNA from 1 species
CAUGCAAGUCGAACGAUGAACUGGUGCUUGCACUGGGGAUUAGUGGCGAACGGGUGAGUAACACGUGAGUAACCUGCCCUUGACUCUGGGAUAAGCCUGGGAAACUGGGUCUAAUACCGGAUAUGACCUUCCAUCGCAUGGUGGUUGGUGGAAAGCUUUUGUGGUUUUGGAUGGACUCGCGGCCUAUCAGCUUGUUGGUGAGGUAAUGGCUUACCAAGGCGACGACGGGUAGCCGGCCUGAGAGGGUGACCGGCCACACUGGGACUGAGACACGGCCCAGACUCCUACGGGAGGCAGCAGUGGGGAAUAUUGCACAAUGGGCGGAAGCCUGAUGCAGCGACGCCGCGUGAGGGAUGACGGCCUUCGGGUUGUAAACCUCUUUCAGUAGGGAAGAAGCCGCAGGGUGACGGUGCCUGCGGAAGAAGCGCCGGCUAGAUACCGGCCCCCACCCGCGGUAAUACAUAGGGCGCAAGCAGUAUCCGGAAUUAUUGGGCGUAAAGAGCUCGUAGGCGGUUUGUCGCGUCUGCCGUGAAAGUCCGGGGCUCAACUCCGGAUCUGCGGUGGGUACCGGCAGACUAUAAUGAUGUCGGGGAGACUGGAAUUCGGGGUGUAGCGGUGAAAUGCCCCAAAAUUAUGACGACCACCGAUGGCGGCCG